rnacentral:misc_RNA from 1 species
GUAUAAUUUUUAAGCUUGCAAGCAAGCUACAAAUAAACAUUCUAAACUUCUUUGGGUGUUAUUAAAAACAUAGACCAACUUUUUAAAGUCGGCCUACAAAAAGUGCACAGGGUGUGAAAUUUGGAAUGAAGGGCGUGCACAUAUCAUAAAUGAUCAGCUACAACCCAUUCAAAAAUUCAAUAAUGAUCCUUCCGCAGGUUCACCUACGGAAA